rnacentral:tRNA from 1 species
GGGGCUGUGGCUCAGUGGUAGAGCACUUGCCUGGCAUGUGUGAGGCACUGGGUUCAAUUCUCAGCACCA